rnacentral:other from 1 species
AUUAACCUGAGAUGCUCGAUAAUUCUUGUUAUUUUGAACCUACAGUUACUUUAAACGGGAUUCCUACAUCGUUAUGUGGAUGUCAAGCCUCCGGUCUUUACAGACAUUGUGCAGUGGAAGGCAGAAGCAUGAUUGCGGUUACCCACCUAGCUAUAGCUAGGAGUCAAAAUACAGGAUUCGGCAUUUUGGGGAUUAU